GCACAAGCGGUGGAGCAUGUGGUUUAAUUCGACGCAACGCGCAGAACCUUACCAGCCCUUGACAUGUCCGGGACCGGUCGCAGAGAUGUGACCCUCUCUUCGGAGCCCGGAACACAGGUGCUGCAUGGCUGUCGUCAGCUCGUGUCGUGAGAUGUUGGGUUAAGUCCCGCAACGAGCGCAACCCCCGUCCUUAGUUGCUACCAUUUAGUUGAGCACUCUAAGGAGACUGCCGGUGAUAAGCCGCGAGGAAGGUGGGGAUGACGUCAAGUCCUCAUGGCCCUUACGGGCUGGGCUACACACGUGCUACAAUGGCGGUGACAAUGGGAUGCUAAGGGGCGACCCCUCGCAAAUCUCAAAAAGCCGUCUCAGUUCGGAUUGGGCUCUGCAACUCGAGCCCAUGAAGUUGGAAUCGCUAGUAAUCGUGGAUCAGCACGCCACGGUGAAUACGUUCCCGGGC
rnacentral:rRNA from 1 species